CUAAUUACCCUGAUUUGAUCAUUACACAUUGUAUAUAUGCAUGAAAAUAUCACUCUAUACCCCAUAAAUAAGUACAAUUAUUACAUAUUAAAACUUUUUGAAAA